CACAAGUAUUUCUCCAUUGAUAGAGAUUAUCUCCUCCCAACGGCUUAGAUGAUACAGGAAGGCUACAGAAGAUUGGAAUUGGAUACUUAUCCCUCCCCAAGAAAGAUAAGACUCUGGGAAAAUCUUUUCCCUUGAGAGUAGGCCUUUGUUAAGGAAAACUCUCUGGGUACAUUUGACAACGACUAUUCUUGCCCUCCCUCUGCCAGAGCCAUAAGUUCACGAUUCUUGGAUCUUUUCUGUUAGAACCUGAUGGGGUUCCUGGAAGUAAAAUCCAUGAAACUGUGGGACUUCUUCUAAGACUGUGAUCCUCAGGAGUUUCUUACUCUCAUCAUAGUCCACAUUCAGCUUCCAACAAUUCAUCAAAAUUACCAUAUUAGCCCUGAGUUAACAUCUCCUGCCAAUCCUCCUCUUUUUGCUGAGGAAGACUGGCCCUGAGCUAACAUCCGUGCCCAUCUUCCUCCACUUUAUAUGUGGGACGCCUACCACAGCAUGGCUUGCCAAGCAGUGCCAUGUCCGCACCUGGGAUCCGAACUGCCGAACCCUAAGCCGCCGAAGCAGAACAUGCGAACUUAACCGCUGCGCCACUGGUCCACCCUCCUUCAGUUCAUUUUGCACAGUCUUAUGUAUGAUAUAAUUGCAUGCACCCUUUUCAAUUGAUAUGACAGGUUUAACAGAAAAUAUAGAUAUAUAAAAUAUUUUAAUACUUAUGUUUUUAGUUAUUUAAAAAUCUGAAAUUAUACUUAAACAUAAGUGGUAAUAAUAUUGUAGUGGCAUUGCUCGGCAUGUGAACAUAACACAUCCCCCAUAUAUAUCCAUUGUCAUUGCUAAUUCAAAAUGUUUAUCAUAUAUGUCAUGGAUAUAUCAUUUUUGAUUUCAAAAAUAAGAUUUUUGUUUCCAUCAAUAUAGGAUGGAUGUGCAGAGAAACCUCGGCUAAUAUAAAAUACUUUAAAAUUUUCUCUCUCUAUAAGCAUGUGUGUUUGUGUAUAGUUUCUUUUUAUUUAAAAGCACGGCUAAAUUUAUAUCAAAGUUAAGAAGGCUAGAAAUGGCAAG
rnacentral:lncRNA from 1 species